rnacentral:lncRNA from 1 species
UGGCCCACAAAUUGGAGGUUCAAUAAAGAAAUAUGUCAAGCUAAAACUGAAAGGUCCUCAUGCGCUAGAUAUUUAAAAGCUGGAAUUGGAUGCAUUGCUCGAUCAGACACAGACCAAGUAUCAUUUGCUUGCUCAAAAGUAGUAACGACCAAGGAUGCCUUGGAAAUUGAAACAAAAAUCAUUAUUCAGAGGGGUCUGUGCAUAACCAGCCGGCAC